GCUUGCUAAUUGCUCUGGUAUAAUCACUCCCACCAUGGCCAUGCUAUCGACAUGAUGUAACCGAACAGAGUCGGGAAGAGAUGCACUCAGUGGGCUCUCGGGAUCCUGCACUGUGGCUGAGGGCACCAGUGAAGGAGAAGCGAGGGCCGGACACACCAUGGGAGUGAGGUGAUGCAGCUGGCUGCUUCGUGGGCCUCUGGCUGGUUCUGAACGCCCCGUGGUCUCUUUGAUGGGCUGUGCCAUCCUUAUGGCAUCUUGGUCAUGCCUUUUCUGAAGGAUCUGAGCCAUCUGCAGCUAAGGAACUCUGGCUGUAGGCGGUAGGGGGUGUUGAGCACUGCUUUUCUACUCUCAGGAGGGAAAGCAUCCAAGAUCUUCACAAGAGUGGGGUUUGCAAAACAACUGGUCUCAAUGGUCGAAGAGGCUCUGUGGCCCCGAUGGAUGAGCUAGAGGAGAAUGAGGGCUUCCUGACCUUCAGGAUCCCGGAGAAGAGGUGCUGGGAAGGCAGUGAGGGGCCUCCCACCUGAGCCUGGCUUCGCAGCGUGGAGACAAAGCUGAAGGAAGGAGGAAAAUUUACAAUCAACAAACCUUUGCAGAAACGAUGGCAACCAGAUAAAGAACACCCACGGGCAGAGGGAGGGAACCAGAGAGAGACCAAGUGCCCACCCAGUCAUGGGAGACCAUCCCUGCUCCCGGUUGUCGUCCCUGCUCCACGACCCAAGGACCCAGGAAAAGGGUCAGCCGCUGAGCUCCCUUUGAAGACGCCCAGCUCUGGUCUGUCUGGGAGGCUUUGCUGUAACCAAGGUCAUUCCAGGACUCAGGGGAGCACUGAGCCAUUCUUCCAUCGCCAGGGGCCCGGGAGCACAGCAGACAUCACUUACAGGAGCGCUUUGUGGAGGAGGAUCCAUGUGAGUGGGCAUUUUGCUGACGUCCCCCCUGUGACCGAAGCCCCAUCCUGGCCCUCCCCACUUUCUCAAAAGUCCCCUCUAAUGGGAACAUUUUGUUAAAUGUACUGUCCACACACAUACUGCUCCCUGUUUAUGGUGUUCCUGCCACUUAGCCUGUCACGGGGUCCCCUCCCAGGCCUGGAAACCAUGCUGAUGGGCCCCUGGGUGGGCCACUCUCCUUCCAUUAGAGCUAAAAGAGAAGCUCUCCCAGGCCCUUUGCUGCCCUGGCCACCCUGUUCUGUCCUUACGGUGGCUGCUCUGGAAAACGGGAAGAGGCUGAGUCGAAAAUUCUGAUUCUGCUCAUUCCAUCCUGAUUCCCAAAUAAUUGACCUGGAGACAAAGAUGAGCUCCAGCCUACACAGCGGUCUGCCCUUUGAAAGGAGCCAGACAAUGGCUAAAGGACUAUCAUCGCUGUUUCUAAGAGUGGACGGCUGUGUGUCCUACGAUGAUGCCCGGUCUGGACUGUCCCCAGCGCAGGUGGUGGGACCCUAAUUGGAAGAGGAUCCUGCGACCUCCAAACCAAUUAAACGCUUUCUCAGGAGCCGGGGACAGCUGCGUGAGGAGAGCACUCAUAAUUGCUCUGGGUAGCCGGUGAAUGUUUUUCUGCCACCAGCAGUGGCUCUAGCCAUCGUGGGAAGUAUUGACUGUGGCUGCUGUCUGGGUCCGGAAAAUUGGACUCUGAAGCAAGAAAAGUGACAUCAGUAACCUGGCUUUUUCAACAGAAGCUCUAACGAGGCAGAGCGGGGCUGCUGGAGAAUAAUGACUUCCUACUAUCAGAGAAGUUUCCUGGGCCAGAAACAGGUGCCUUCCACACACAACUUUCAGAGGGGCAGAGAAUUUGGGGGUGGGGGCAGAGAAUUUGGGGACAGGGGCGGGGGGAACCUCUGCCCCCAAUCAUGCCACUGGAACUGCAUCCAAAUGUGUCUCUUGAGACGAUUUCUUGGGGAUAGAAUUUUCUAGAUCUUGGUUGUGGCUGAUGGUCACACUAUUCUAGUCAUCUGUCAAAACGGUCAUAAACUGUAAACCUCAAAGGGUCAAUUCUGUGACACGGAAAUUAUUCCUAAAUUUACGCACACACAAAACAUACGCACCCAGUGUCCCUUGAGACUGCUCUCCUCACCCAGACCUGCGUGGGCCUCUGCGGUGGUCUGAUGCUAACCUCAUGUCCUGCCUACAGAUCCCGAGGCUCCUUGUAUAAUCCUUCAAAGGAGGAGAAACACCAGCACAGGAUUUUGAAAACCUGGAAGCCUCUAAAACAGUGGUCUACCGUUGUGGUUGCUCUCAGAACCCCCCGGGAGCUUUGACACCCCAGACCCAGGCCCCACCGGGCCGGCGGUGGGGCAGAAUCCCUGCGGUUGGGACAAGACCUCAGGACUUUUAAGCCCCUCCCCCCAGCCCCACCCCCUCCCCAUGAUAGUUCUGUGAACCACAGCGGUAAAGUCGUGAGGAGUGGUUCGUGGUUUCGACCCUUCGCUCUUACGUCUUUGAAGAUAGUGUCAGACGGCUACACUUGAGGUUCUGUGCUCUGCCCCCCAACCCCGCAGGUGCUCGGGGCCCUCAGAUGUCCGUCUUGCUGCUACGGUGGGAACUCAACAGGGAUCCCCUUGAAGCUUUGGCCCGGGGUUCCCGCUGCCUCCCUCUGUCCCUGGGAAUGUGUGAACAUACUGUGUCCGCAG